rnacentral:rRNA from 1 species
AACGAACGCUGGCGGCAUGCCUAACACAUGCAAGUCGAACGAGACCUUCGGGUCUAGUGGCGCACGGGUGCGUAACGCGUGGGAAUCUGCCCUUGGGUUCGGAAUAACAGUGAGAAAUUACUGCUAAUACCGGACGAUGACGAAAGUCCAAAGAUUUAUCGCCCAAGGAUGAGCCCGCGUAGGAUUAGCUAGUUGGUAAG